rnacentral:rRNA from 1 species
UACAGAGGGUGCGAGCGUUGUCCGGAAUCACUGGGCGUAAAGGGCGCGUAGGUGGCUCGUUAAGCGUGUGGUGAAAGCCUGGGGCUCAACCCCAGGUCUGCCGUGCGAACUGGCGAGCUUGAGCAGAGUAGAGGCGGGUGGAAUUUCGGGUGUAGCGGUGGAAUGCGUAGAUAUCGAGAGGAACACCUGCGGCGAAGGCGGGUUGCUGGGCUGACACUGACGCUGAAGCGCGAAAGCGUGGGUAGCAAACAGG